GCGGGGAAAGGGCGGCGUGCAGGGGUUUUUAGCAGCGGUUCCAGGAUCCGGCCAAGGUCGUGCGUUCCAGCUGGGGUUCGAUGUGGUUUCUGCUUAGUUCGAGUUCUUCGGUUCCGCCACUAGGGACGGAGGUGGCGUUUCCGUCCCUCCUUCCUGCGACCCCCGUCCUCCCUUUUGGCUGCAGCCCUGUGUGGAGGGACCCCGACAGGAAGCGCGAGGCCCUGGACCUCGCGGAAUUCACGCGGAGGCAACCAUGGUGGCGUAAGCUGUUCGGGCCAGAGUCUGGGCCCUCGGCUGAGAAGUACAGCGCGGCGACGCAGCUGGCCGUCGGGGGUGUCACUGGAUG
rnacentral:lncRNA from 1 species